rnacentral:rRNA from 1 species
CAAUCAAACCGGGAGAUAGCUGGUUCUCCCCGAAAGCUAUUUAGGUAGCGCCUCGUGAAUUCAUCUCCGGGGGUAGAGCACUGUUUCGGCUAGGGGGCCAUCCCGGCUUACCAACCCGAUGCAAACUGCGAAUACCGGAGAAUGUUAUCACGGGAGACACACGGCGGGUGCUAACGUCCGUCGUGAAGAGGGAAACAACCCAGACCGCCAGCUAAGGUCCCAAAGUCAUGGUUAAGUGGGAAACGAUGUGGGAAGGCCCAGACAGCCAGGAUGUUGGCUUAGAAGCAGCCAUCAUUUAAAGAAAGCGUAAUAGCUCACUGGUCGAGUCGGCCUGCGCGGAAGAUGUAACGGGGCUAAACCAUGCACCGAAGCUGCGGCAGCGAACGUAUCACCCAAGACAACUUUACGGAGUUGACGAUUGACGGAGCGAAGCGACGUCAAAGCGUUCAUUAAAGUCGAGUUGGCUUAGGGAUACGUUCGUUGGGUAGGGGAGCGUUCUGUAAGCCUGUGAAGGUGUGUCGUGAGGCAUGCUGGAGGUAUCAGAAGUGCGAAUGCU